rnacentral:rRNA from 1 species
GAUGAACGCUGGCGGCGUGCCUAAUACAUGCAAGUCGAGCGAACGGACGAGAAGCUUGCUUUUCUGAUGUUAGCGGCGGACGGGUGAGUAACACGUGGAUAACCUACCUAUAAGACUGGGAUAACUUCGGGAAACCGGAGCUAAUACCGGAUAAUAUUUUGAACCGCAUGGUUCAAAAGUGAAAGACGGUCUUGCUGUCACUUAUAGAUGGAUCCGCGCUGCAUUAGCUAGUUGGUAAGGUAACGGCUUACCAAGGCAACGAUGCAUAGCCGACCUGAGAGGGGGAUCGGCCACCCGGGAACUGAGACACGGUCCAGACUCCUACGGGAGGCAGCAGUAGGGAAUCUUACGCAAUGGGCGAAAGCCUGACGGAGCAACGCCGCGUGAGUGAUGAAGGUCUUCGGAGCGUAAAACUCUGUUAUUAGGGAAGAACAUAUGUGUAAGUAACUGUGCACAUCUUGACGGUACCUAAUCAGAAAGCAACGGCUAACUACGUG